GCACUGGUGGGUCAGUGGUAGAAUUCUCACCUUCCUUGUGGGAGACCCAGGUUCGAUUCCUGGGCAAUGCA
rnacentral:tRNA from 1 species